GAACAUGGCAACCGGUGUGGGGCUCAUCCUGGAAGGAGGGGACUUUGGCCAUUGUGAUGCCUAAGGAUCAAGUGCUGCCUCUCUCUGGGCACUUCAUGCGGUUCCCCUUCAUCGUGUCCAUAGCUCUGCUGCACGUGGCUCUGGCAACAUGGGGGAAAAUGAAGAUGAGAGGCUGGCCCAGGCAGGUCAGGUGUUUGAGAACUUCGUGCAGGCUUCCACCUGCAAGGGCACCCUCCAGGCUUUCAACAUCCUCACCCGGCUCCUGGACCUCGACCCUCAGGACCACAGAAACUUCUAUUCCAAGCUCAAGUCCAAAGUGACCACGUGGAAGGCCAAGGCUCUCUGGCACAAGUUGGACAAGCGUGGCGCCCACAAAGAGUAUAAGCGGGGGAAGUCAUGUAUGAACACCAAGUGUCUCAUCAUAGGAGGAGGACCCUGUGGCUUACGUUCCGCCAUUGAACUUGCCUACUUGGGAGCCAAAGUGGUCGUGGUGGAGAAGCGGGACACCUUUUCCCGGAACAACGUGCUGCACCUCUGGCCUUUCACCAUCCAUGACCUGCGGGGCCUGGGAGCCAAGAAGUUCUAUGGAAAAUUCUGUGCUGGCUCCAUUGACCACAUCAGUAUUCGUCAGCUGCAGCUCAUUCUAUUCAAGGUGGCCCUGAUGCUGGGAGUUGAAAUCCACGUGAAUGUAGAAUUUGUGAAGGUUGUUGAGCCUCCUGAGGAUCAAGAAAAUCGAAAAAUUGGUUGGCGGGCAGAAUUUCUCCCUGCAGACCACCCUCUGUCGGAGUUUGAGUUUGAUGUCAUCAUUGGCGCUGAUGGCCGCAGGAAUACUCUGGAAGGGUUCAGAAGAAAAGAAUUCCGUGGGAAGCUGGCUAUUGCGAUCACCGCCAACUUCAUAAACAGGAACAGCACCGCUGAGGCAAAGGUGGAAGAGAUUAGUGGUGUGGCUUUCAUCUUCAAUCAGAAAUUUUUUCAGGAUCUUCGAGAAGAAACAGGGAUUGAUCUGGAGAACAUUGUUUAUUACAAAGACUAUACCCACUAUUUUGUUAUGACAGCCAAGAAGCAGAGUCUGCUGGACAAAGGUGUCAUCAUUAACGACUACAUCGACACGGAGCGGCUGCUUUGCGCAGAGAAUGUGAACCAGGAGAACCUGCUUUCCUAUGCCCGAGAGGCUGCUGACUUCGCCACCAACUACCAGCUGCCAUCGCUGGAUUUUGCCAUAAACCAUUAUGGGCAGCCGGACGCGGCCAUGUUUGACUUCACCUCCAUGUACGCCUCCGAGAACGCGGCCUUGGUGCGGGAGCGCCAGUCACACCAGCUGCUGGUGGCCCUGGUCGGCGACAGUUUGCUUGAGCCGUUUUGGCCUAUGGGCACAGGCUGUGCCCGAGGCUUCCUGGCAGCAUUUGACACGGCCUGGAUGGUGAGGAGCUGGAACCAGGGCACUCCUCCCCUGGAGCUGCUGGCUGAAAGAGAAAGUCUUUACCGACUAUUACCUCAAACGACCCCAGAGAACAUCAACAAGAACUUUGAGCAGUACACGCUGGACCCAGGGACACGGUACCCGAACCUCAACUCCAACUGUGUCAGGCCCCAUCAGGUACAGCACCUAUACAUCACUAAGGAGCUGCAUCACUUCCCUCUGGAGAGAGUGGCCUCCAUGAGACGAUCCGUUGGCCUCUCCCGGCGGGAGUCAGACAUCCGGCCCAACAAACUCCUUACCUGGUGCCAGCAGCAGGCCGAGGGCUACCAGAAUGUCCGCAUCACCGACUUGACCACGUCCUGGCGUAGUGGCCUGGCUCUGUGUGCCAUCAUCCACCGCUUCCGGCCCGAGCUGAUAAAUUUUGACUCUUUGAGAGAGGAAGAUGCUGUGGAGAACAACCAACUGGCGUUUGAUGUGGCCGAGCGUGAGUUUGGUAUCCCCCCGGUGACAACCGGGAAAGAGAUGGCAUCCUCCCAAGAGCCCGACAAGCUCAGCAUGGUCCUGUACCUCUCCAAGUUCUACGAACUCUUCCGGGGCACCCCGCUGAGGCCUAUGGAUUCUUGGAGCAAAAACUACCAAGAAAAUGCUGACCUUGAGGCUGCCAAAUCAUCCAUUACCCACAAUUAUCUCAAUCUCACGAUUCCCAGGAAAAGGACUCCGCGAGUGGACAACCAGACCCAAGAGAAUGACAUGAACAAGAGGAGGCGGAAGGGCGUUAACAACCUGGAUGAGCCUUCAGCCUUUUCCAGAAGGAGUUUGAACUCUGAUCCAGAAAGCAGCAGCAGUAAAGAAGGUGGAAAUCAGAACAAAGUCAAGUCCAUGGCCACCCAGCUGCAGGCCAAGUUCGAGGAGAAUUCUCGGGGCUCAUCCCUGCUGAGGCAGGAGCAUCAUGGCUCAGGGAUAGGUAAGCCCAUCGUGCGCUCCUCCUCCGACCCGCCUACCUAUGGGCACGGCCCCCCUCCAGAGGAGCCCACACCCAGCCCAUCAGCUCCUCUGAAAAGGCAGCUCUUCCCGGAAGUUGUGACUGGGCAAGUGCUCCAGGAACUAAAGCAAAUAGCCGCUGGUGGUGAGGCCAAGAGCAGGCCCUGGAGAGCCAGAGCUAAGUCUGACCUACAGCUGGGGGUGGCCCACCAUCCUGCCGCCCUGCCUGCCACCUGUCCCGGAGUGCUGGCCCUCUCUGGGGUGCUGCGGCGGCUACAGCAGGUGGAGGAAAAGAUUGUACAGAAGAGGGCUCAGAGCUUGGCCAACAGGGAAUUUCACACAAAGAACAUAAAGGAGAAGGCAGCUCACCUGGCCUCCAUGUUUGGACAUGGGGAUAUCCCUCAGAAUAAGCUUCUCUCUAAAGGCCUGUCUCCUCCUCUUCCUCCAUCCUCUCCCUCCAACUCCUGCCUCCCAUCUCCUGACCCAGCUGCAACUUCCUCUCCAGCAACUGCUGACUCUGUUUCUCCUGCCAAAAAGCUGACGGUAGGGAAAGUAUCCAGCGGGAUAGGGGCUGCGGCGGAAGUGCUGGUCAAUUUAUACAUGAAUGAUCACAGACCUAAGACCCAGGCCGCCUCUCCAGACUUGGAUUCUAUGCGAAAGUCGUUUCCCACCAACCUGGGUGGCAGCGACACCUGCUACUUCUGCAAGAAGCGCGUGUACGUGAUGGAGCGGCUGAGUGCGGAGGGUCACUUCUUCCACCGGGAGUGUUUCCGCUGCGACAUCUGUGCCACGUCCCUGCGUCUGCCCUCCUACGCCUUUGACAGCGACGAAGGCAAAUUUUACUGCAAACCUCAUUUCAUUCACUGUAAAACCAACUGUAAGCAACGGAAGAGACGGGCAGAGUUGAAGCAACAAAUGGAGGAGCAGCGGACGUGGGCGGAGCAGGACACGCCGCGGCGGGACCCGCCUCCGGAAAGCUCCUGCGCAGUGGCCGCCAUCGCCACCCCCGAAGGCAGCCCCCCAGUUCAUUUCAGCCUUCCAGUGCUACACCCACUUCUUGGCUGAUGCACUUCUGCUCUGAGGUGAUUGGAUCUCUUGCUGAUUUUCAGAGAGUGACUCUCCCUCCCUUUCUAGAAUGUCAACCAAAGAGUGCCCUCCUCCCCUCCCAGUCUCCUCCUUAGCUAGCCUCCCAUCUCAUUGCUACGCAUGUUUGUGACCUUCCGUAGUCAUUUCUGGUGCCACAUGGAACCCUGUAUUUUGCACACUGCAAGCAAUGUUUAGCUUUAUUUAUGGUAAUUGAUGCUGUAAAUGAAAAUAAAUAUGGUUCUUUAUAAAGCUCA